UACGUAGGGGGCAAGCGUUGUCCGGAAUCAUUGGGCGUAAAGCGCGUGUAGGCGGCCCGGUAAGUCCGCUGUGAAAGUCGGGGGCUCAACCCUCGAAUGCCGGUGGAUACUGUCGGGCUAGAGUGCGGAAGAGGCGAGUGGAAUUCCUGGUGUAGCGGUAAAAUGCGCAGAUAUCAGGAGGAACACCAAUUGCGAAGGCAGCUCGCUGGGACGUGACUGACGCUGAGACGCGAAAGCGUGGGGAGCAAACAGG
rnacentral:rRNA from 1 species